AAUCGAGCCAUCUCCACGGAGGGGCUACUGGAGGGGCAGUUAAGGGAACCCUCCUGAUGGUCUUCUUCUGCUGCAAGCCAUUAUCAGGCAUUUCUCACUGGGAGGAAGAUGAGGAAGAAGGUUUGGUGCAACUGGCUGUGUGACCCUGGGCAACUUUUUCCACUUUUCUAUGCCUCAGUUUCCUCAUUUGUAAAAUGGGCAUAAUAAUAUCAUAGAACUAACUUCAUGGGAUCAUUGUGAGAAAUGAGUGAAUAUGAAAGAUUCAGAGCAGUGCCUGGCCCACAGUAAACAUCUGCAAAUAUUAUUGUGA